GACCGCUAAAAUACAAAACUGUCUAAGAUUCGGUAUGCCCUUGUGUUUUGGACUAAUGGACCUGACAAGGAUGCACGUAGUAUCAUACCAACAAAAUGGAUAAUUGACCCGACGGAUAUUUCAAAGACAUUUUGUGGAAUGUCGCAUAGCUAACACGAAGAAGCCUGUCAACGGAUGGGAAGUUGAGUGUGCGGUGGUGAUACAGUUAGCAGAGAUUCCAGCCAUGUUAAUGGACAUGAGAACAGUUUUCACCAAGAAUAAUUCCUCCAAAGAUCCCAACAUCUCUGAGAUUCUAAGUGAGGGGGAAACUGUGACACCUUCCAAACAGAAAUGAAACGGGGAUGAUGGCACCACCACUGUCUCAACCCAUUGUUGGGAGACAGCAAAUGCACAAAAUUCCCCCAGUGGGAUGGCACGAGUGCUGCUGAUGGGCCUUGUCAGUGUUGAUGUUCUCCUGAAGUCCAACCUGACCCAACCCCUGAUCCCACAGCAGAGCAACAACAGGCUCUUGAUGGGGAAAAAAGUGCAAGCUUUACUUGAUGCAGUUGGAAACCACCAUCCAGGAACCAAGGGAUCAGAUGUAAGAAAAUCCAUCAACACAAGAAUCUGUGAGUUAAGGCACCAAGUGAAGA